rnacentral:lncRNA from 1 species
CAGCUACUCGGGAGGCUGAGGCAGGAGAAUCACUUGAAACUUGGAGGCAGAGGUUGCAGUGAGCCGAGAUCACACCACUGCACUCCAGCCUAGGCAACAGAGCAAGACUCUGUCUCAAACAAUAAAUAAAUAAAAUAAAAAUAAAGAAAGACUGGUUAAACCAUGAGCACAGAGAGACUGCCCAGCACACCAGGAAGAGACAGAAAAACAGCAAGCCAGGUCUCUGCAAGGGUUCCACAUAUGGCCUGAAUGUAUAAUUUGGAAAAACUGCCACCCCUACCUACCCCAUGCAUCCCAGCCACCCCCCCCGCCCUCCCUCUGAACCCCCAAGUUUGCACCUUCUUACCUGUCCCCAACAAAUCGCAGCCAGCCCGGGCUCCCCAUGUUGGGAAAGGAAACCUCGGUCAGAGACUCCACGGUCCACAUUUUUAGGUGGGGGUGGGUUUGGCAGAUUGGGAGUGGGGAUGGAGAGAGGGGAGAUGUUUGAGGGGGUAAGGGAAAUAGGGAACCAGCUGGGAGGGAGGAGGAGCAGAAGAAUAGGAAGGGAAAGAGGUAGAGGAGGGAAAGGAAAGGAAAGGAAAGAAGAGGGGCCUGGAGGAGGGAGAAGGAAAGACAAAGGCCUGCUGGGAACCAACCCAGUAGGAAUUACACUCAUUUUUUUUCAAAUUUCUGGAAGCUAGCAUUUACCUAGGUGGGAAAGGGAGCUUCUUCGCAAAUAUCCGACACAUGUAUGAGUGUACGUUGCAGGUAUGAAUGUGAAUGGCAACGGGACAUAGCGCUGGCUGUGGCUGUGGCUGUGGCUGCGGGUGCAGAUGGAGGGGAUGCGGGUGCCGUACACAUCCUGAUAAGGAAAAGAGAAAUGGGGAGAGGCCUCAAAAUAAGCAAACCACUCUUCGACAGCCCUAACAAAUCUGUUUUUGUUUCCUGUGUGUCUUCCCUGUCCUCAUCCAUGUGUACGUGUGACCUUUACCUCUUUAACACACCAGAGUUGAGGGUGGCAAAGCCAUGCCACAUCCAGCAGAGUCCCAGACCACAGUCCGCAGAUGCCUUCUGAAGUCACCUCCUCCUAGCAAGCCCCUCCCCAACUAAUGCCCCACACCUGCCCCACCCCUCCCCACUUCCGCCAGGCUCUGGGCCUGGUCUUGCGUCUGCUUUGCAUUUCCCGUGAGUGCUCCACUGCUCCUCUCAGGCUCUAGACAUCACCCCUCCCCAGGACUGCAGUGUCUCUGCCUUUUCUGAAUCAAGGCCACCCACAAGAUGUCCU